GGAAGGUUCCGCCAAGUAGUUGGCAACUCGUCUAGAAAACGAGGGUGGCAUUUGAGCCAGGGGUGCGACUCCUCAACUUUCCGCCA
rnacentral:tRNA from 1 species